CGCCUAUAUGGAAAGACUGUUUUAUUUACAGCUUCGUGUCUGUAUGCCGUUAUACCUUGUGAAGUAACUGGAAAAAAAUUUGGGAUUUAGUUGACCCUACCCUUUAAAGUAAAGAGGACUCAAGAUGUGCACAGAAGAGAGCUUUGUCUCUGUAACCAUCCCAACACCCUCCACCAAAAAGGCAGGCCAGUGUGCCUGUAGCCUGAGGAGCAAAACCUGGGGUAAAAAGAAAUUAAUAUUAGUCGCUAUGCUUGAAAAGCUUAAUUGCUUUGAGUGAACGUUAAAAAACCGAAGGAGCUUUAGAUGAGCUUAUCAACAUUCAUCAGGACUGUGUUGGCUGGAUAGUCAGAGGACAGUGUCCGGAGAGACUUCAGUAGGAAAAUCAACCUGGCAAAGAUAGAAGGAGAGACUCCAAGACGCAGUAACAAGGAACAAGAUGUAAGCAUAACUGGUGGGGUGACUUAUAACGCUGAUAAGACAAGUCAAACUACUGGCGUUAGUCCCUGUCAGCACAACACCAGGAGCAUUUCCAUAAUCUACACCCUGGAGUCGUAAGUAGGAUUUCAUUGCCUUUUCAGCUGUUGCUGUCCAAAAUUUGCUUUCCACAACUGACUAACUUUCCAUCGUGUCCAACAACAAGUGUAGCCGAAAUCUUCAUUUCAAAAAACAUUUGCUCUGUUAUUUGGUUUUUUAUAGUUUUCUUUUAAACAAACACAAUGUGUGUAUCCUUGAGCUCUAACAAAUGCGGUGAAUGGAUUUCUUUCGUCCAUGAAACAUAGGGCAGAUUUUUUUUUUAAUAUUAUGCAUUGUUUACAUCCACGGUUACUAACUUGUAUCUUCUCCUUUCCUGCACGUUUUGGAGAUCCUUUUUAAUAGCACUGCUACUGUGAAUAAGACUCUAUUCAGAAUAAAUAAUGUUGUCUAA